rnacentral:rRNA from 1 species
GACGAACGCUGGCGGCGGGCUUAAUACAUGCAAGUCGAACGGAAAGGCCCUGCUCUUGAGGGGGGCUCGAGUGGCGAACGGGUGCGUAACACGUGAGCAACCUGCCCUAUACUUGGGAAUAACUUCUGGAAACUGGGGCUAAUACCGGAUAGGAGUUCCUGCGGCAUGGUGUGGGUUGGAAAGUUUCGGCGGGUGGGGAUUGACUCGCGGGUCAUCAGCUUGGUUGGGGGGUUGUCGCUUUCCAAGGCCUUGACGGGUAGCCGGCCUGAGAGGGUGACCGGCCACAUUGGGACUCAGAUACGGGCGAGACUCCUACGGGAGACAGCGGUGUGGAAUAUUGCACGAUGGGCGGAAGCCUGAUGCAGCAACGCCGCGUGCGGGAUGACGGCCUUCGGGUUGUAGACCGCUUUCGCCUGUAACGAAGCGUGAGUGACGGUAAUGGAUAAAGAAGCACCGGCUAACUACGUG